GACGAACGCUGGCGGCGUGCCUAAUACAUGCAAGUCGAGCGGAGCGGCGGACGGGUGAGUAAUGCCUAGGAAUCUGCCUGGUAGUGGGGGAUAACGUCAGGAAACGGGCGCUAAUACCGAAUACUAUCAGAUGAGCCUAGGUCGGAUUAGCUAGUUGGUGGGGUAAAGGCGUACCAAGGCGACGAUCCGUAACUGGUCUGAGAGGAUGAUCAGUCACACUGGAACUGAGACACGGUCCAGACUCCUACGGGAGGCAGCAGUGGGGAAUAUUGGACAAUGGGCGAAAGCCUGAUGCAGCGACGCCGCGUGGUGGAUGAAGGCUUUCGGGUUGUAAACCUCUUUCGCUAUCGAACGGGUAGGUGGAUAAUAAGCACCGGCUAACUUCGUGCCAGCAGCCGCGGUAAUUC
rnacentral:rRNA from 1 species